UCGAGGGCGAGAGGAGGUGGCCUCGAGUAGGGGUCAGCGAGCGGUGACGUCGAGGGCGAGCGACGAUGGCGUCGAGGGCGAUCGGCGAGCCAGAGGUCAGCGGUGGUGACCGGUGCCGUCGAGGGCGAGAGGAGGUGGCCUCGAGCAGGGGUCAGCGAGCGGUGGCGUCGAGGGCAAACGGUGAGUCAGGGCCCAGGGGUCAGCCGCGGUGCUGUCGAGGGCGAGCGGAGGUGGCCUCGACCCUCGAGCAGAGAUCAACGGUGGUGGCGUCGAGGGC
rnacentral:lncRNA from 1 species